rnacentral:lncRNA from 1 species
UUCUGCCUUCUUAACAUUUAUCCAAACAUAUGAAUAAGGGAGAAAAGAAAUGAGAUGUAUAUUUUCACUCCCUAUUCCCGUGUACCAAACACCCCCUCACUAUAUCUCAAUUAAGGUUACAUAAAAUGGUAUUUAUACUAAUCUUCAGGUAUUGAAAUUUCAAAAAUACCCUUGCAUUGUAUUGCGGGGCCCCUACACCCACCUAUCAUUCGUCCUUAACGAUAAAAAUACAAGCUUGAAUGACAAAUGUCAUCGUUCCACUCUACUUUACUCCAGCAUUUGUCCAUUUUUCUCCAUAUGUCUUUCACUCAAUAUAAGCCACAUAUAACAACAUUUUCAUUUGGGAGACCUAAAAAGUGCUUUAGAAAUGGUGAUGAAGGAGUCGGAAUGUUGUCUAUUUUUCUCCGAUUCUAUUGAUGCUUGGAAGUAGUGGUGCUUUUGGUUUUCGAUGCCAGUAAAUAUUGAACAUCCCUUGUGUUUUGUAAGAGUAUUUCCAUCAUUUUUCUUGUUUCUUUUCCUAAUUCGGAAUGGUUACACUACUUGAUCGCCAUUUUGUUUUGUUUUCUGAACAUAUUGUUAUUUUCUGAGAAAAUAUCCGUGACAGGCCCAUUUGUGGGAAAGAAGGAGAAAAUUUUGAUUAAAGAAUUCUUGUGGUGUGGACGAAUGGAAUGGUAGUUCGGUAAAUAUUUGAACAAAAUAUGGCCGAAAAACAGUCACAACAAAACUUCUCCAAUACACCUCUUCUCGCCUUUUAUUACUUAGUAUAGAUUUUCUAAAUUUUAUACAACACAUGAUUUUUCUUAAAAAAAACAUCUUUUAGUUACAAGCCAUUUUUAAUAACACUGGCAAAGAGAAUGUAAAUUAUGGGGAAUAGGCUUAGGGUGUAUAAGAAAUCAGCUGACAUCCAGCCCAAUAAUCCAAAAAUUAGGCCGGAUUAGGCCCAGCCCACUAUCACAACUAAGGCUAUAGACGCUUUAGGUUUCAUGGCAGCAGAAGGAACCCCAUCUCUGUCCACGAAAGCAUUCGAUGAUUCCUUCAAGGUACUCUUCCAAACGAUAUUCCCGAUUAGUCCAACCGACUUCCAGUUCCAGAUUAUUUAUCGUCGUUUGGGUGCUGAGAAAUUAACGAGAAAAUGAAAGAAAAGUUUGAAUCCUAAAAUAGUAAGCAGAUAGCAUCCCAAAAUGACGUGGGUCCUAAAGGCGAGUCCUUGACAACCUAAUUUCAGGCCCACAACUUUUUUCUCCUCAAUUUUAGGCCUGAGCCCAUCAUGCUCCAAGCCCAGAUGAUGUUUUAUAAUGUUAUGACGGGCGUUGACAUUGGGCCUAACGCCGUUAGGGACCGGAGGGAAACCAAUUGUUCAAAUGAAACUCGUUUUUACCGCAUUUUCUCGCCCUCUUUCCACAAAGCCAAACAGAGGCUAGGGCAUUGUGACAAGUUCUAGCCUUUUUUCCUUUACAUUUUUUCAGGAAUUCAACUCCAUCGAGGUAAUAUGUUUUCCUGUAAACCUCAUUGGUUCUGAAACUAUUAAGUUUUUGAAGUUUCCGAUUUGAAGUCUGUUCUAGCGAUCGAAUCUUUACAGUCUAUUGCAUAGAUUGGAGAUAUUGUGAAUGUGGUCGCCUGGGCUCUGUUUGAUUAGUCAUAAACUAGAUUGUGGGAGAAUUGUCUUGCGAGAAUGAUUUUAUUAUGUCCUUGUAUGCUAAGGAAGUGUAGGGAGAUGGAAAAAACUAAGAUUUAAGUUUAGGGUUUUAGACGCAAAACAAGAUAUAGAUGGGAUAGGGAAUGUUAAGGGCCUUUUGCUUUGCUGAAAUGAAAACAGUGUUUGGAGAGAGAAUUUCAUUUCCAUGUGUCGAGGCUUGUUGUUUUUUUUGAUAGUUUUCGGUUGUUAACUAUGCUAAUUUUUGGAUUUUUUUAAAAAUGAUUUUGGAAAUACCUUGCUUACUAUGUCUCCAUGCGACUUUCAUUUUUUCUCUUUUUGGAAAAAAAAAAAAAAGUUAAAAUUUCCAUUGCUUUCCUCCCUUUUCUCUGGUUUUGGUGGUAAUCAAAGGGAGAUGGUUGUGGAUGUACUUGUUCUGAUGAAUUUUUGUAUCAUUAAGUUUGGCUGGGAAUUAUGAGCUAUUUAUGGCUGAAAUUCAUUUUUUUUUUGUUCUGGGAAGAAUUUUCCUGGAAACAUUUUCCAUUGGUGAAUUGAAUGGUGGCUUUUCCAAUUGAAACCUGUAGUGAUUUAAAAGAAUGGAUUUCAAGAAUGCACAAUUUCGUCUGUAAAAAAUAAGUAGAGUUUGUACAAAAUAUCUGACUGUUUUUAUAUCAUAUAAAAUUUUAGUUUAGGAUCUUGAAGAAUUUGAUUGUUUUUUAGUAAAUAUUUUCUUUUAAUGAUAAUUUUUUUCGUACUUUCCUUUUGAAAUGUUAAUAGCACAGUUUAUAGAUAUGCUUGUAGGAAUAGAAUUGAUUGUAUGAGGACUUAUUGUCUUAGUAUUUCAGACUAGUAUGGCGAAGGUUGCUACAGCUGGUCCUUUAUCUUCCAACUCUAUUCGUUUUGGUGGGGUUUCUGGGAAGGUGGAGGCAGGAGUUAAAAGGAAGACACCAUCGGAAUUGAGAGUAAGUUUCUGAAUUCAUGGUCUUGCUCUGUUCUCUCUAUUCUCUGCAUUAUUAGAUGAUAAAUUGGGCAUAAAAUGAGUUUCUUUAGCCUUCUACAUGGAAGAUCUUGGCAGGUAGUGUCUUCUUUUUUAAUUGUUAAUUUGUUAAUUUGCAAGUUUUAUGAGAUGAAGGAACAUAGCUGUUGCUCUGCAUGUUUGCUUCACAUACAAGGAAAGGAAGAUUACUCUGAUUAUCUACUUCUACACUCUCCUGGUGCAACAAAGAAAGGAAAAAAAUUGAAUGGCUCUGAGCAUUUUUUAUUUGACAUAUUGUAGCCUUUUCAUGAAUCUAUGUCUGUUCUCUUGCAAGGAAAGAGCCCUCAUGGGGAUGCCGGGCAGUUUUCUAAGAGAAGUAGCACUUAUUUGCACUUGACUAUAUUGAGAAGUAGGACUCCUUGUUCCAACACAAUUGGGACUACCAACAUUUAAGACAAGUGCUGUAUUUGCAAUUCACAGACAACACUGUCUCUUUUUCUAAGGCCAAUGCAGAAGAGUUGCAAAAUCUUGAGAUCAUUUUGUUGAUUUUUGGCCACAUUUCCAGACUUCAUAUCAAUCUAGACAAGAGCACGUUGUCAAGAAUCAAUAUGAGUCGAGAUCAAAUUGCUAGAUUGGUUUCGUUCUUAGAAUUUAAAGUUUCCAAUUAACCUUUAACUUAUUUGGGUCUUCCAAUGGGGGGAAUCCCAAGGCUAGAGUCUUUUGAGAUCCGACCAUAGAAUUUCAAGACUGGAUGGGUGGAAAAAAGCCUUUUUGUCUAUAGGUGGAAAAAUAGUUCUAAUUUAGUCUUGUUUUUCUCACAUCCCUAGCAACUUCCUUUUGUUCUAUAAUAUUCCAUUCUUAGUGACAACAAAAAUUAAGAACAUGUAAAAGGAUUUUCUUUGGUUAGGGUUUGGGGAGGGAAAGAGAUAGUAUCUUAUAAGCUGGAUCUAAGUGUGCAAGCCUAAGGAGGAAGGUAGCUUUGGGUUUAGGAGCAUAUCUUCAAGAAAUAAGGCCUUCUUAGGGAAGUGGUUGUGGAGGUAUCCUAGGGAGAGUAUUGCUUUAUGGCACAAGGUCAUCUUGGGCAUGUAUGAGACACAUCCAAACGAUUGAGAUGCCAACAUUUUAGUGGAAAAUGGGUUAAAAAUCCGUUUGGGGAAGAUUUGUGUUAGGGGAAUUAACCUUUGGUUGCACAAUUUCUAAGUCUUUACAAGCUUUUAUUAGUUCAAAAUUCUUCUAUUUCAUUUGUCCAUGGUCUAUCUUCUCCUCUUACUUGAAACUUUGACUUUCAGCGAAACCUUAUGGAUUCAAAGACAGAGGAUCUUGAAAGACUCAUGUCCAUUCCCAAUGGUGUUAAUCUAACACUGUCAUCCCUAGAUAUGAAACCUUGGCCAUUAUCACCUUUCAACUUAUUUUUGGUCAAAUCUUUUUUCUUGACCUCAUUUAAUCAUUUAACUUUAGUUUUCUUUUCUCUUGCUAAUUUCAUAUGGGAAUCAAAAGCUUGGCCAAAGGUCAAGGCAUUUGCUUCUAUAGCGGCUAACAAGAAGGUUAAUACCAAUGACUUGCUUUAGGUGAGAAGACUGUUCAAAGCCUUAAGAUCGGAUUAUUGAACUUUGUGUAUGGAUAGUUGAGAAUCAAUGGAUCACCUUUUUUACACUGUUCGACAACUUUGGAGUUAUGACAUGAGCUAUUCAAACUAGUCGGUAGGUUGGAUUAGGUUCCUUCUAGAAUUGCUAGAGACAUGUUCACCAUUUCUUUUAGGGGUUUGGGUAGCACUAGCUGGGGUAAAGUCAAAUAGCUUGUUUUACAUUGAUUGGAUAGUAUGAUGGGAAAGAAAUGUAAGGAUCUUUGAAGACAAGUGGAGGACUUUCGAAAUGAUAUGAGACCUAGUCUACCUCUAUUCAUCAUUUUGGGCCUCUACUACUAUAGUUUUCAAGGGAAUUCCUCUCAACAUUAUUUAACUUGAUUGACUUUCAAUAUGUAGAUCGAAAGGGUUAAAAUAGCAGUGUUGAAACAUUUCAAUGUCUUUUGGAUUUCUUUUUUCCUUUCUUUUGAUCAAGUUUUAUAAUUAGGGAAAGAUUUCUUAUCCUUCUCUUGUUUACUUUUUCAAUGAAAAUGUUUUUUGUUUCUAAUAAAGAAAGUUGCAAGUUUUAUUUAUUUUUAUCAACCAUGAAAGUCAUGCUGAAUAUGGAAAAAUGCACAUUUCCUGGGAAAUACUGCAAUGCUUUUGUCUUUUGGUUUUGUUUUAUGGAAGUUAUUAAUGAUUUUUUGGUGGGUAAUUUAUUUGGUUUCACAUUAAUAGAAGUCUCUUGGGAAUUACAGCAGUGUUUUCAUCUUUUGGUUUCAUCUUCCUAAGUUACUAAUGAUUUUUUUUGGUGGGUAUUAUAUUUGUUGCCACACUAGAAUGCAUUUUAAAAAAAAAAAAUCUGUGGUUGGAUUUCUUACUGUCAUGGCCUGCAAUUUAAUGGGUUGACUCAUGGAACAAACAUAAAAACAGGCUGGACCCUGAUCAAAGUCGGAUGCUGUGAUAUCCAGUUGCUGUGGUGUACAGCAUCUUCCAACUUUUCAUGUGAUGUAAAAUGGAACUGUUGCAUUUUACUUUAGCUUUAUAGACUUCAAAUAUUAUCCUUAAUUGGCAACAAAUCUUACCACAUUUCUUUGCAAUUUGGUUUCUGAGGAGCUUUCUGCAUGAUCUUUGCAAAUGUUUCUGGAGGAAAAUUCUUAAGAUUUUCUGUGUCUAUUAUAGGGAGAGCAGUUAAAGCGAAGGAAUGUUAUAGAGCUUGUAGAUGAAUCUCCAGCUCCUUUGCUUGGUUCUACAAGGUAAGCUUUGUUGUAUUUCUUUAAAUUACCUUGAUUUAUAUUUCACUAAGUUCUUGCUUGCUUCUCUCAGGAACACCAAUGAGCUCAAGAAACAAGAUGUUUUCAAAGUUCCAAGAUACAUUGACACCCGUAUGGAUGAAGUUUUUCCUGCCAGAAAGUCUAGGUUUAGGAUGCUUCCUGGAAAAGAAAAUGCUAAGGUACUAUACAUUUUCAUUUAAAAUUGAUUUAGUAUCAAGUAUGUUUACUGUAACAUGUUAGAACUGUCAAAUCAUUAAUCUGUCAAGAUAUUGAAUAUGCCAUGCAAUUUACCAUGCAUUAUUACUGUCUUAAUUUAUUCAAAUUUUUUAAUAUGUGCAGGAAGAUAUUUCAACUGAGCCGGCUGGCUGCGUGAAGAAUAUGCGUGUUUCUUCAAAUUCAGUUGUCAAGAGUCAUCCACAACUUUCAUGGUAUGCAUUUCCAGGACAGUGUACUUUUUUUAUAAUUAAUAAGUCGUUUGCUUUUUUCAUAUUUAUUCUAUUUCUUAUUUCUAUCAGUCCAGAGAAUACUGUGGCUUCAGCUGCAGUUUCCAAAGAUGGUACAAGGCAAGAUUGUGAAUAUGCUGAAAAGUGCAGUCAAAGCACAUUUCGUAGUGUGGCUGAAUUAUCACUUGGUAGUGAGAGGAUAUCUGAAAUAGUUUCUGUUGAUAUGGUAUUUUUGUUAGCAUUUUCCCCUUUUAUUUACCUGAAGAAAGUUCUGUGUCAAAAAAUAAAUCUAUUUAUUUUCACAGGAUAGAGCAUUAAAAGGACUGGUUGCCCGUGAACCCCCUGCUUUUUCUGGUUUAGCUGCUGAUUCUUCUGAAAAGUUUGGCAAUCUUACUUCAAUCUCUUCUGGCAAUUUCUGCUCUGAAUUUCAUAUUCCUGGGCAAAAGGCCCCACUGGAUUUUACGUUAAAAACUAAUAUGCAGAUAGUGUCUUCUUCCUCUGUGAACUGGUGAGUCUGCUGAUAUGUUCUGUGUGGUUGGUUCUCAUUAUAGUUACAUAUCUCACCUAUUUCUAGAGAUUAUUUUGUUUACUUUAAGGGUGAAAAAUAAUGCUUCCUCAUCUUUACUCUAGUUUCAUCUGGAAUUUGUUUUUUUGGAUGUGAUCUGAUGCAUGAAACUGGUGUUGAACUUAAGCUAUUAACUUGAGAAGCCUAGAUAAGGGUUUUUGGUGGUUUAGGAUGACUACCAUAAAAUAUGUUCUAUGAAAAACAAUGUAGCAUCAACAAGUCUGUUGUAUUUUUGGGAGGAUUCCUCAUCCUUCUUUUGUGUUUCUUUAUCCUUAAUUUAACACAUUUGUUGUUUUUGAUAAAAUAUAUAUAUAUAUAUAUCCUCAAAAGGUAGGAUACAAACGCAAGGACCUAAUAACAUAUUAAUAUAUAUUUUUAUAUAAAUUAUAUAAUAUCUGAAAAUUAUGAGUGUGGUUUGUUCAUCUAUUUUUUAUACUAAAUUGCAUAGCUUAGAAGAAGCAGCUCGUUCGCUUGUAUCCAUGCUUAGAGCAUCUCUAAUGCAAUACCAAAGUAGUUUGCUAUUGCCAAAAAACAACAUAGUUUUUAAAUAUUGGCACUCCAAUGGCAGCUGCCAUUAUUUGGCUUUCCUUUUAGCAUUGCCAAAUGCAAUGCGAUCUUUGGCAUUUGGUUGGAGAAUGGUGGUUGAUUGCAUUGUGGUCCAGCACUAAAAUUUGGCAUUGUUAGUUUAAUAUUUAAGUUGGAGAGUAAUUACCAAUGCCAAAAAAUAAGUUUGGCAUUUGUUGUUUUAGCAAUUUGCAUUGAAGAUGCUCUCACUGUGUAAUAUUUUUUUUCAAAAAAAUGCUCUCACUGUGCGCAUUCUUAUCAUGUUGAAUUUUUUAUUUUUUUUAUUUAUUUUAUUUUUUAUUUAUUUUCUUUUGUAAGAUUUAAGGUUUUAUCAAAAUUAUACCAGGCUUAACUGCAGGUAAAUAAUAUGUUGUUACUGUGACUUAUUUAAAUCAGGUUCCUUCAUUGGAUAAGGUUUUCAGAAACAUGUAACACAAUAAGUGGUGCAUAUAAAUUUUUUUAACAAUGCAGUCACAAAUACAAAAACAAAAUUACUAAUUGGACUACUACAUAAAUUGAUUGAGGAUAUAGCCUUCAAAUAUGUAAUUGUACUUGAGUGGUUUGGAGAAUGAUGACUGGCUAUCUGUCCAUUUGUUUGUAUAAGAUUUGACCAACUUGUGUGCCUAAACUUGAUUACUUAUUUAUAUUGGUUAUUCCCUUGAAGUUAAAUGGCAUGCCCAGUUAGUCUCAUGCUUACUCUGUUCUUGAAAAUUAUCUAUACCAUACCAAUUUACUGAAAAACUGGACUGAUGCAUUAUUGAGAGAAAUACAAUUCAACAUAACUUUUGGUUUUUCUGAUUUUCAGGGAUAUGAAGAUAAGAUAAUGGGUUCAUUUUAUUGUUUAGGUGGUUGGUAGUGCACUUUGUUUAAUGCUAUAUGAUGGAAACUUUAACCAUAAUGAAUUUGUCAGUGCAAUUCUUUGAGAAUCUGUAGUAUUCAAAGGAAUUGGUUAUCUGUGUAUAGAAGAUGCUGUGGAAGAAAGAAGUAAUCUAAAAUUUUUAUUUAUGAACAAAAUUUUAUGAGGGAAAAAUUUACGCAAUAAAAGAGAAUUGUUACUUCAAUGGCACAACCUUAGUUAUUCUUCAAUUGCAACUUCCUUUUUUCAUAACUGUCUGGGGCAUAGGCAUGUUAUUGUUUGCCCAUUGGGAAUGAUUCAGGCAUGAGAGUGAUUUACAUUCAAAUUACUGUUGAUCUUUUCUAAAUAUCCUGUUUCACUUGUCCAGAUGUCUUUCCCAUGAAACUAUAAUUUUGUUGCUUGAAAUUUUGAGAGAAUAUCAUAAUUGCCAGUUAAGUGGUGAUGGUGUGAGAUUUAGAUGCUUUACUAAUUUUCUUUUGUAUUAUUUUGAUGCUCUUUUGCUGUAGUAUUUGGAUCUUAUUUUUUCUGUUAAAUCAAAUUUUAAAAAUUCAUACUUUGGUGCUAACAUUUAAUUAACCCACAUAUAUUUCUGCUUUGGGAUACAUUUGCUAUUUUUCCUUGAAGAAUAAAUUUUUGUACUCAUAUUUGACUAGAAGAAAUAUCAUUGAAUUAUGUCUAGCCUAUGCUGAUUCAUUUGAUAUCAUAUAUUCUUUUUAUAUUUAUUCCUAGAUCAUUGGUUCUAUAUUGUGUUGGUAUUCGUAAGCAUUACUAGUUUAUGCAUUAAUAAAAUAUUCAUCUUGCCAUAUAUAUGGGUUACGUGUAUGCAGAUUGUUGCAUAAUCUAUGUAUGCACUACUAAUGUAUAUUCCACGACACUCACCAUUAGAUUGCUAGUAGGAGGUGAUUUUAGGUAAUUAACCUUAUCUCGAAUUGCCAUUUCCUAGGUUUCAUAGAUUGAACAUGUCUGCUACUUACAAUGGUACGACCCUAUUCACACCUCAAUUUGGUUGUUCCAAAGAUCAAAAUAUUAGCUGCUCCUCUGGGCUCACUUCCACUGCCCAAAUAUUCAAUUAUAGAGCUUUGCACUCCUGGGUACACCCUCAAUCUUCUCUACCACCAUCUGUCAUAUCAGCAUUGACCUUAUCUGCUGCAGAGGGAGGUUUGUGAGCCAAAUAUUUUAUUAGUAUGAAAUUUAAGUUUUUCUUUUCCUUUCUUCUCCUCAAUUUUUCUUAUAACAAAUUUUCUUGGUCAAUUCUGUGGAAGCAGAUUUCUUAAUCAAACGACAACUAGCAUGGGAGGACUCAUUUCGAAGUCUCUAUUACAUGCUUAGAAAGAAUAUCUGUAAUAUCUUCUAUGGUAAUUACCUUCUUCCAUGCUUCAUAGUAGUUUUCAAUUGUACGUAAGUUCUUGUAAGAUUUCAUAUCUUGUUCAUAUGGAACUACUUUCAGAUUAAUAGAAUACCUUUUUAAUCCCUUAUGGUGAAUGAUCUUUUCCUGUGUUACCUUCUUCCAUGCUUCAUAUUAGUUUUCAAUUGUGCCUAAAGUAAUACUUAUUAAAAAAAAAGUAUUAGUUUAUGUUUUGGGCUCACUUAAUUGCUUUAGCCAGUUUCUGUUUCGUUUUUGGAAUCCCAUGGUCUUUGUCAUUGUGAUGAAAUUUCUGAGUAUUUAUGUUCUCUUUGUUCUUCCUGGGCAUUGCAAUUAUUUGGUGUACUAAUUCUUAUAAAAAAGGAAAAGAUAGUAUUAUAUGGAGAAAAAUAAGCUGUUUGUUACUUUGUGCAUUAAUGCUUUUUUUUUUCUUCCUCUUGUUGGAGUCACAAUAAAAGAUAAUAUUACACGGAAAAAAAUAAGCUGUUUGUUACUUUGUGUAUUUGUUCCCUUUUUUCCCUCUAUUGUGGGAGGAAUCACAACAAUAUUGAUUAUUUUAUGAAUUUGAAGCAAAAUGCUUAUAGUUUUGAAAUUUAAUAAUUUGUUAGUGUUGAACUCAAGGCUACAAAUGUUGGUUUUAGUGGACAUUUCAUGGUGUUUUAGUUGACAUUUCAUUGGUCCUAGGUAUAAUAAUGUUAAUAUAUCUAUGUUUAUGCCAAUGUCAUCAUUGAGAAAAAUUUUUGGUGAUUUGCAUUAAAAAAAGUAUACUUUCAGUUAAACCUCAAAAUUUAUAAUAAUUUAGAAGUUAAUCCAAAUUCUAUAUUCUUAGAAAAUUUGAAGAAUUAAUUGCAUUGAUUAAACAAAAUCGGGUUUCAAUAGAUUACCAAAUAACUGUGACGAUUAUUUCAUAAAGUGUGAGAAUUUGUAUGGAAAGGAAAAUCUGUGUGUUGUUAAAUAAUAGUGACCUAAAAGCCUUAAAGAGUCACAAUCCAUAUUCUUAGCUCAGAAAAUUUGGAAAUUAAAUUGCAUUCAUGUUGACCAAAACUGGGUUUAGAUAGAUGACAAGAUAACACACUGAAGACUAUAUCAUAAAAAAAUCAGAGUCUAUUCUAGUCUGUAAUUCUAACACAGAAUCUUGUGGAAUAUUAUGAUAGUCAUUCACAUGAAAUAACAUAGUCUGGCACAAUAGACCACAUUACAUGUGAUAGUCCUGAUGUUAUGUCUUCCCAAAUUUACUUCUCUUAGUCUUAGUGUCUCCAACAUUGAUAAUACAUAAACAAUACCUUAUUAUAAAAGAUUGACAUAUUACAAGUUCAACAUGCUUAUGGAGUAAAGUAUCUUUUUGAGAGCUUUUACUAACAUUGGUAUUUUCCCUUUUGUUGAUCAAAAUACCAUGCUGGAAACAAAUGAACAACAAAAUUAAAUGAAGGACAAUGCAUUCUUGCUUAAUGCAACACAAAAUCUGUGUCAUGAUUGAGUUGGUGUAGUACCACUCCAUGUAUUCUUUUAUGCCCAUUGCUCAGUAUAAAGACAGCUAGUUGUCAUUUAUCAUUCUUUUUUUUUUUUUUUAUAUUAGAAACAACAGAUGUAUUAAUUAAAAGUUUAUAAAAACAUGAGAAGGAUGAGAAUCCUCCUCAUAAUAUACAAACUUGAUCAAAAGACUUGAAGAAAUCUUCACAUACAAGGAAGGCUAUACUAAAAGAACAAAAAGGCCUAUACAAGUAUACCAUCUCCUGAAGCUCAUUUAGGAACCUCACCCUGUAGGCCCAACCUUAGGGUGUACAUAUUGAAAGCCAACUCAAGUGAAUUACACUCAAGGGAAAGGGUUUAAAAAUGUUAGUACAAUAGACCCAAAAAGAAACAUAGAAGUGAAGCAAGUCUCACAUCAUCUCGUGUCUUCCAAGUAUCCUAAAAAAUCCUAGCAUUCCUUUUUCUCCACUUAGUCCACAACAAAGCGAGACAAAUGAUCUGCUAUAGAGUCUUUGCCUUUGGUAGAGUUCCCAAAACACUUGAAAGAAAUAGUCAUCAUAUUGCGAAUACUGCUUGGUUAAACCCACACCAUCCCAACUUGUGAGAAUAUCCUAUGCUAUAACCCCAAAGUAAUUGGACAAUGUAGGAAAAGAUGAUCAGUUGUCUCUCCACUCCUACAUAGGAUACACCAAUCAGGGUUAAGGGCUUUGAACGACCUUCUCACAUAUAGCAUGUCAUUGGUAUUUACCUUCUUAUGUACCACUAACUAGGCAAAGGCCAUGACCUUAGAAGGGACUCUUGAUUUCCACAUAAAUUUAGCUGGUUGGAAAGGAACUGAAUUUGAAAAAUUGGACAAGGCUAAGAAAAAAGAUUUUAUUGAAAAUACACCUAAAGAAGAAGGUGCUCAAGCUUUCGCAUUUGGAACAAAAGGAGACAAAUGUACAUGGGAAAGUAAAAUCAUUAGUUUUUCAAGAUCCUCAAUCUCCACACUAGUUAGAUUCCAACAGAAAAUAAGAUCCCAAGACAAAGAGGUGUCAUUACCCAAGAUGGCUGAAAUGGAUGGAUGACAAAGAGGUGUCAUCUAUCAUUCUCACAUCUUUCAUACAUGAUCGUUUUCACAUGUUCCCUUACUUCUAGCAUGAAGGUCUAUCUUCGAUUCUUGAUGGUUUUGAAUAUCCAUAAUGAUCUUGUCCAUAUAAUCAUAUGGUAGGGGCUGACAAUUCAUCACUGGUUUGCAUACUGUAGUGUUAUGACACUGUAACUAAAUUUGCUGCUUCAUAACCACAACAAUUUCUUUGGCAAAUUGGCUUGCCUAGGCCAUACUUUUGCAAUGGCUGGUUUCUUUCCUAUCGAAAAUGGAGUUUUUUCUUUAGGAAUUUUCAAUACAUAAUUGCAUAUAAAGCAAUUUGAAUUAUGUGAUGCUUUCAUCAUAUUGUUUUUGGUUGUGUCUACUAUAGAGUUUAUUUAUUAUUCUCUGGAAGCUCUAAUUAUAACAUUGAAAUUGAAAGAAACUUCUUUCUUUCUCCUUAUAAUCCCUACACCAUGACUUAUGUGGACCAUAAUGUUUGAGCCUUUUUGGUUGUUCAGGUUGUAAUAGGAGCAAAAUGUGCAUGAUCUGUUCAUUUUGGAUUUUUAUGCCUGGAUUUUUUUUUUUUUUUUUUUGGGUUUUUUUAUUAGUUAAAUUUAUUUUGUAUGUCACACUGUACACUGAUUUUUCUGUUUUAUCGGAAACUUUCUAGUUUGUACUUCACAGUUUGUGGUGGUGUUUGCUGGUGGUGACGGCUCAGGAGGAAAGAAACAGUCCUGUAAUGCUUAUAUCUCCCAGUCAACAAGAGGCUUAAGGUCAUUGCUGAGAGAGCAUGUAAGAUGUAUCUCUUUUAUCUUUUAAAAUUUGAAUGGAUAGGAAGUUUAUUUUGCUCUUUAUGGAACAUGUUCAUAAGCAAUUUUCAUGUGGAAAAUAUGUUAUAUCUCACUCAAAAAUACUGAUUCGAGUUUUUUCUGCUUGAAUAUAAAAAUUAGUUCCUGAAAUAAGAUAUUACUUUUUUUUUUGGCACUUGGUAUUAACUGAGAUAGUGGCAUUGAAAUAGAAAUCAUGGGGCUGCUUAUUUUGACUUAAAAACCUGGAAAUAGUGGCUGCUUCUUUAUUAGAGGUUUAAAUACGAGGUUUAUAAAAUUGUGACAGAAAUGAGUGCAGUGACAAUAUUUUUGUGUUCUUUCUGCAAACUUCUAAGCUAAUCUUGGAGUAACAAUUUUAAACCAUUCUUGUGAAAUUAAGAGGAUUACCAAAUUUAUUGAUUUUGAGAAUAGUUGAUAUUUAUUAAGGAACUUGAUCUGCCGACCAAGUGGCUAACUGUUAGAUCAUGAGAGAUAAUAAUUUAUCAGGGACCUUGAUUGGCUGGCCGAGGGUUUACUGUGUUUGACUUUUACCUACUAAAAAAACUGUCAUCCUUGAUUUUAUUGAGGCAUUGGCUGCUCUAUAUUUUUGGUUUUUUUCUCAUUGCUGAGCAAUCAUUUUGCUUUUUCAGAAAAUUCUUGUAAUUUUGUCUUAUAUAGUAGGCCAACAAUGUAUAUCGAGUUAAGUUGACUUAGGCUAAAGCCUUAACGUUCCACCUGACAUGCAACCUUCUCUUGCUUGUAUUUGGCUCAAUAAUGGGGAUUAAGCAAGCAAUGAGGUUCGAACUUAUGGCCUGUUAGAAACCAAAGCUCUUGUACCAUGUUAAGCCCCAAAACUUAACUGUUGGAUAAUCGACUGAUGAUGUAUAUUAUGCUGACUUGGAGGAAAACCCUAAUUGUCUUCUCAUUUUUUUAUUUUUUAAGUUCUCAAUUCAUAUAAGAAAAUGAAAGAAAAUUUGAAUCAAUGAAGAAGUGGCCAUAUUUAGGUAAGGAUGCAUGAGACUAUGUGUGACAGACGUGAUACCUGGAUUGUCAAUUUUGCUGAAAGUAACCAUGUUGACAAAAAUUGCAUGGAUAUUGUUGUGGGAUCCUCAUGGGAUAUAUUAUUUGUUUUUUUACUUGGGACUGGCUAAUUGGUCAAUAAUUUUUAAAGUGAAAUUUUUGGAACUUGGUCUUUAUGAGAUGAAUUAAGACUAAAAAAAGGAAUUGGGUUUUGUUGAGGAUAUUCAAGGAUAGGAGGAAAGAAAAAGGGCUUUUAUGAGGAUAUUUAAAGAUAAAAAAAAUUGGGUUUUUCUGGGCAGGUGGGGUGAUAGAAAACAGGUCCCUUGGUACUUCAUUAGCAUAAAUUUUUUACUUUUAGGAUAAUAACAUUUAAAGAGAUGAUAAAUCAAAACAAAGGUAAUAAAAUAAAGGUAAAGGGAUAGAUAUGGAUAAAUGAUAAAAAAUAUAUAGAUAUAAAAUAAAAUUAGUGAAAGAAAUAUGUAUCCAAAUUGUAUAUUAACAAAAUUUGCAAUUUCCAAAGACAACAUGACAGACAAUAUAAAUUAAAUUUUUUAGCUCAUUUCCUUCAUGCCUUGGAGUAAUAUGACUUGGAUUACUAAAGGGUGAUUUUAUGGAUUCCAUGAUGAAUAAAGUAGACAUAGAUCUAAGUAAGCACUCAUAAAUAUUUGACUUUUAACCAUGUCCAAGUAUCUGUACCCAUUGUAAGUUCCUUUCAGCAAAGUCCUUGUAUCUUAGAGUUUGUGAAUUUGAAUGAUUAGAUGUGUAACACAUACCUGUAUCUAAUACUUGCAACUAAAUCCCUGUAACAUAUGUGGCAAACAGACAUAAUUUGUGAUUGUUUCCAUCUGUUGCAUGUGCGAUCAGGGGUUGCUUGGAUUGUUUUAGGGCAGCGUAUCUGAUUUCAAUUUGAUAUAAUUGGGUUCAAAGAACUCAGAAAAAAAUAUGGAAGCUCAGAACUAUAAAUGAUUUUGUCAUUUUGAUUCAGCAUAACGAUGGGUUCAAAUGUGGAUCAAAGUUGAAAAUCUUGGUAACCUAGUGGGCAAACCCCAACUCUGCAACCAUGUAAUGAGUUAUAUGCUUAUGAAUUUGUGCCUGUCAUAUAAGCUGUCUUCUUUUCAGGAUGCUGGACCUCUGAGAUUAUGAUAUUAAGGGCUUGCAGUGCUAACCAUUUUAACUAAUUAAUCUCUGUUUUGGAUUAUAUAUAUAUAUUUUUUCCAUGUUUGUGAUUUUUUUUUUUAAUCCAAUGAGCUCUAACUUUUUCUUUUGUCUGUAUAUUAUGAAAACUAGGAUGUUUGUUUCUCUAUGCCUCUUUGCCAUUCUAAAGUAGAACAAGCCACCACUGAAGACCUGGUUGAGCUCUCAGAGAUUGAGAAAUGCAAUCUGGGCCAGGUUUUUGUCUAUGCUUUUAAUUUUGAUUGUCUUUUAUCUUUCACGUUGCUUAACUUACACCUGGAAUAGAACAUGGGAUGCCUUUCUCUGCCAUUUUUGGAACUUACAUGCUUGCUUAGACUACUUGCUUGUUACAGUUGCCUCAAUGGGAUUUUCUUAGGCAUUUAGUUUAUGACAAAUUUAUGAGCAGCAAGGGCAAAAUAUAAAGAGUGAUGUCUGUUGCUGUUUUUUUUUUUCCAAAAUUUGAUUAUGAAAACCUCCUUAGUUACAGAAGCAUGCCUACUUCUCCUGAUGUUCUUUGUGAUUUAUUACUCAUUGGUGAUUCUCAUUUCAAUUCAGACUCGACGUCUUGGUUCCAUAUCUGAUGUGGAUAACAGCCCACAGUCUUUGCUGUCUUUCAGUGGAAACAAGAAUGUGCAUGCUUUAUAUGACUUUAUGCUAAAUUAUAGGUAAAUACCUAGCUAAUGUCUGAAGAAUUACAUCUCUCUAGUAAGUUAGGUACUUUGUCUAUAUCUCUGUUCUCUUUUAUUGCCAGUGGUUCUUCAUUUCUUAUGGCUGUUUCCAGAUCUUUCUUGACGUCCUUGACAAGUGUGGAUGUUCCUCUUCUGUAUUCACCUGUUCCAUUUCAGAAUGCUGCUCUUUCUGCUCCAGAGGUAAGUGUAAUUUAAUUCAAAUUUAAUGGUUAUAGACCGGUGUUAGUGACCUUUGUAUCCCUUGGCCAAGAAUGCAUUUCCAAGAGCAAAUAUACGUCUCAGCCAGAUUCUCACAUAAACGGUGGCCAACAGUUGGAUGUUUAGACCACCAUAUUGAAAAUAUAUCCGAACCAUUUCUGUGCAUAUGGGUGGGGUGGUCCAAAAUUUUGAACCUUCUAAUGGCAAGUGCUUCCCUGCUACUGCUUUGUGUUCUCAAAGUGUCAUCAAAUAGGAUCACUGAACUUUGUUCUAACAUGAUUGAAGUAACUUUGACCAAUCCUUAUUCCACCUUUUCUUAUUGUUAUAAUCAUUUAUCAACCUUUCCUUGUAUCUGCAUCUGACACAAAGAGGUCCGAUGCAUGUAUUACCACCCUUGUCAUGUAAUAUAACCUACUCAGAUUCUCAGAAUACAUUGCUUUUCUUUUAUAGGAUUACCGAUUACCUUGGAAGGACAGUAGUCAUCCUUUGAAAUUAGAGCAAAAUGGUUCUUUAUAAAUUUUAUUACUUGUACAAAGAUAAAUAUUUAUUAUGAUUAAUUUUAGUUGCUUGGUUUUCCUUGCUAAUUCCUGCGGGGUAGAUGCUUGGAAUUUUUCAGUAGUGACUUCUUUUGCAGGUCAGUUGCAGGGAGUUGAAGAGAGCUGAUCAUGUUGCUUUUCCUCUUAAAGGAUCCAAAAUGAAAGACGAAGCAAUUGAAAGUGUUUCAGCUGGUCUCUCCUAUAGCAUUGAAAUCAAGGAUGCGUACAUUCCACCGUGGAUAAUAUCCAGUAUAUGUGCAACCAUGGGUUCUGAAGGGAGGAGCUUUGAGGCAAGGUAUGACAAUUGUGCCUGAUUAUUUUCUAUGACUAACCCUAAUCUCACCACAAAAAGCUGCAGUAGUGGUAGAAGAAUAAAUAUAUGUAGCUACGAGCUUUGGCUUUCAGUUAUUCAUCUUACUGGAAACCAUGUCAGUAGAUAUUAUUUUACACACAUUUGUUGGCAUGUUGUAUGGCCAUAUAUAGAUAGCAUUACCAGCUGGCUAACAAGAAUAAGCUAACUUUGUGUGUGUGUGUGCAGUUUUACAACAGAGCCUACUUCAAUUGGCCUAAAUGCUGCUGUUGAAACUGUUGGCCAGAAAUCUGAUACCCAAGCAGCAACAGGUGAAGCCAUACAAGAAAGCACAUAUGCAUUUGGGGUUCCGGAGGCUGUUGUAACUUCUUACAUGCAUUCGGCCUUUUUAAAAGGCUUGAAAUAUGCCAAUGGUUCUUAUACGGCUCGUCUUUCUCCUGUAUAACAGUUCUGUUUUCAUUUGUCGAGUGUUUCAACUAUAUGUUGCUGGUCAAUUGCCUGUUCCCCCUCAUUAAUUAUUUUCUCUGUGCUUCUGGGUUGUAUUAUCUUAUCUGAUUAACUUUACUUGACCAACAAUUUUUUUUUAAAUUGUUGGAACAAAUUUAGUGGUGAGUCUAGUUAAAAUAAACAGAUACUUGAGUAGCUCCUUUUCAGUUCUUCUGGUAUGAAGUGUGAGAAAGAUUAGUGACAUGGAUUGCAAGAGCACAAACCUUGUUUGAAACGAUGGAAUAAAAAACUUUUGAAAUCAGCUUGGUAGCUAUGUAGCAAGUUGUUCACUAUCCGAAUUGGUGUUCCAGCUUCCCGCCUGAUUAUCCCAAGUGGAAUGGCUAGCUUCUCACUAUGCCUGUAAACAAUGCAUCUGUAUUCCCCGUGUACUCUGCUGCUCUUAUCUUCAUAAGGAUCUCUUCCCACAUUUUCUCAAUCUUCUCUAUUUCAGGAUGUGAGCUUUCUCCAACUGUGAACUUGUGGAUAUUCUCUUCCGACUUUUGCUUUCAUCGUUUGCCUCAUCUUGGUGACUCCCCCCUGCUUUGCAUUUGCAUAAAUGUUUGACAGGAAAAUUUUGAUUGAUUCCAUCAUGAUCGACAAAAGAAUCAAUCUUGGAUUUAUUAUUUUCCAGCACUUGUGAGAGCCAGUCCAAGAUACUCUCGUAGAUAUCUGUUUACUCAGAUUUUAAAGGCGUAUAACGUGGAGUUGAGGGCUGAGAACGAUGUCCAGUGCCCCACAGCUUAUGGCAUAUAAUUGGAAAUCCAUGGAUCAGAUGUAGUUUGAGCGCCUUCCAAAUGGCUCUAGGAUUCGCAAGUAGGGUGGUAAGGAGUUUGCUGAUGAGCUUGUUGAAGAGCAAGCCGAGAUACUUGGCAUGGAGAGAGGAGAGUUUUAGCCAGACCCUGAUACUGAGGAGAUGCAUACUGAGAAGCCUCUCCAUUCCGAUUAGCUCGAGAUGCCAUUUCUGACUCAUCCAGUGCUAACUAUGUCUACUGAGGAGUCUCGUCUCUCACUAAGAUUCCUUAGCCCCCACCACCUCAUUGUUUGAGUUCACUGUGCCAUACACCAAUCCAUCCUCUGCUCAGCAGUACUGGGCAGAUAUCUCUGCUCAGAUUGGGUCCCUUGGCACUCGCAUUGAGGAGUUUGCUCUGUUUAGUGAUCCUCGCUUCUAGUCUAUUGAGGAGUGCAUGGACUCGUAUCAAACACAGAUGACUCUGUAGUUCCAGACUAAAUUUGAUAUUCUGUCGACUCAGGUUCACUCUCAGCACAACCAGAUGAUGGAUUACCUUCGCUCCAUCUUUCCACCUCCACCUCCCCAGCCUUGACUCCGAGCUAGUUUUGUUUUUCCCCUUGUUUUUUAUGCUGCCAAAAGGGGAGAUAUUUUCAUAUGGGCAUAUCUAAGCUAGAAGAUUUUCUGUUUUUUGGACAUGUUUUAAUAUAUACAUUUCAUACUCUGGAUUAUCUUUUAGACAUGCUUAGCUUUGUUAUGGUUAUUUUGUCUUGUUGGUAAUAUGAAUGACUAUUUUUAUCACCACUUGGAUAUUUUAUAUUCAUAGUUUCAGUAGAUAUUCUAUUACUUAUUUAUUUAUUAAUUUUGUUGAGUACUGCUUGGAUCUCUACAUAUGUUUGACCCCUGUAUAUUCCAUGGCUCACACAUGAUAUUUAUUGGUUCUUUAAUCUUCUUAGCUAGCUUUGGAUCUUUACUUAAUUGUCAUUAUAUGGAUGACCUCUCAUUUAUACAAAUUGUUCAUCAUUCAGCUGUUUUUAGAAUCCUUGGUUAGUUGCUUAUACAAAUCAUUAUCUUGAUGUAGACCUUCCAUUUUGUCCUAGCAUAUGUUAUUCUAUGUAUUUUCUUUCACUUUUCUUUGCCUUAUAACCGUCCCAUGGUGGUCCAUUGUCAUUCAUUUGGUACUAUUUUUUAGUCACCUUUGGAGAUUCAUUGUUAAAGGAUUUUUUUAUGGAUCCCAAAUGUGACCUUAGUUGCACUUUAAUUUAGCUCCCUUAGUUACAUUUUAUAUUUAACUCACUUAGUUGCAUUUUGGUUUAACUCACUUAAUUAAUUGCAUUUUAGGUUUAAUUCACUUAAUUGCAUUUUAGUUUAGUUCACUCGGUUACGUUUUAGGUUUAGUUCAUUUAGUUCACUUAGUUGCACUUUAACUUAGCUCACUUAGUAAUAUCUUGACUUAGUUUACUUAAUUGCAUUUUAGGUAUAACUCACUUAGUUGCACUUUAACUCAGCUCGCUUAACUUAAUUAUGUUUUAGGUUUCGUUCACUUAACCUAGCUUACUUAGUUGUAUUUUAGGAAAUUUCUUAGUUGCAUCUUAGUUUAGGUGCACUUUAUGAUGGUUCAUCUAAAUGCAUAUUUUAGUUCAUUACAUUUAGGGGGGUGUUUGGUACAUGGGAACGAGGAGUGAGAAUAAACAUCUCAUUCAUUCCCUUCCUCGUUCCCAUGUUUGGAUAAAUUUUAUGAAGAUAAGAAUGAAAUAAAAAAUGAUUCCGGUAGAAAUCAAAUCCCACUUAUAAGUAGGAUUUCAAUUCAUUACAAAUAAGUGGUAUUUUAAUUCAUUCAUUCCAUAAGAAAAUAUAAAAUUAUUAUUUUACUCUUAAAUUUCAUUCAUCAAGCCCCUGUCUUUCAUCAUAAUAAAACUAUUUUUUUAGUCUUAUUAUUUAGUUACAAAAAAAACUCUCAAAUUUUAUUUUUUUAAAAUAAAUAAAAAAUUAUUUUAAACUGUGUACGAGUAUUAUUGUUAAUUUAUUUCUCUAUCAUUCUUAUUCUUAUUACUACCAAACAUUAGAAUGGAAAAAAAUAAUCAUUCCAAUAUCAAAUUCUUAGUUUAUCAAAACACUAGAAAUGAAAUCACCAAAUUCAUUUUCAUUCACCAAAAAAUAGAAAUGAAAAUAAAAUAUUUAUUUUCAUUCUCUAUUACUUUGUACUUAAUACUCUCUUAAGUGCACUUUAAGAUAGUUCAUGUAAAUGUAUUUUAGGAUGACAUUUUAUAUCACAUUGCAUGACAUGUGCAUGAGGUUGUUUGGGAAAUCAAAAUUGGAGAUUGAAGAGGAUUUUUUAAGGUGUACACGGUUUGGAGAGUUGGAGUUUAGGAUUAAGAUUUUAAAUGGGAAAGGAAGACUCAUUCGAAGAUGGCUCAGGGAAUCCUAGGAAGGGUAGGACUCUUGGAGAUUCACGCGUGGGCAUUGGGAUCGGAAGACACCAAAUUGAUUUUGAUUUUGGUAGGACCCCCUUAGCCCACGACUGCCCAUUAGGACUCUUGAGGGUUUCACACGACUACAUGGAGAUUUUCAAGAAUAAGGACAGACUAGGAUUCGCUUGGGAUACACACGACAUUGAGGAGAUUUGAGACUAAAGGACGAGGUUUUGAUUUUUGCAGGAGUAGGAUUCCCUAUGAGAAGAUUAUCAUUCACGCAUAGGAGAUUUGGGAGAUGACUUUUUUUUGGAGAUGUAGAAGGAUAGGAGAUUUGGAAUAUAAAAUGUAAAAAUAAAGAUGGUAUAACUUCGAACAUAACUUUUUGUUAUAUGAAUUUUAUGUUGUUGUACAAAUUGUUAAUUAACAAUUUUAUUCUUUGUAACUUCUUUUCGUAACAAAAUGCAUAUUAGUAACUUUGACAUAACCUCUAGAUAGUGCAAAGAAUGUUGAUUUUUUUGUUUUCAUAAUUUUUGAUUUAAAAAAUAAAAUUACAUAGCUUUUCGUUAAACAUAAUUUUUUUAUAAUGGAACAUUUUUCAUAUAACUUCUCAUUGUAUGAAAUUUAUUUUUUAUUAAUUUACUAGCAUUUUCUAUGUAAGAUGGAUAAAUAAAAUUGAGUACCCUUGUAAAAAGUAAAACAAUUAACAAAUUAUAAUAAUUAUAUAAAAAUAAAAAUUAUAUUAUUAUAUGCCUUCCCAUGAAAUUUAAAUUAGGCAAAGUCUUCUCUAUUACACUUCAAUGGGGGAGUCACCGAUAGAAAAUCUUUUUCUAUUAUAUAGAAUAGCAAAGAAUUGAAAAACAAACUCCAGUGACCUCAUAAUGAUGCUAGAAAUAAAAUAAAAGAAUUAAAAAAAGAAAUGAUGUCUUGUAAAAUAAAAAAUUAUAAAAAGAAACGAGAAGAGAAUAAAUUGGAAUAUUUAAACAAAAAAUAGAAUGUUAUUUCAUUAGCAAGUCUCCCUUUAUAGAAAGUUAGGAAGAGGUUAUAUCAAUAAGGAUGAUUAUUCAUAAGUUUCUCUAUUUUCAUAAAAAUUCUUAUAUUUUAUAAUAAAUAUUAAUGUUAUAAUAAAUAUUUAAUGGGUAUAAUGUACAUAUAUUAACAUUUUAAAGGAAUAAUUGAUUUUUAUUAAAAAUAAAUAACGAUAAUUUUAGACAAUAAGGUUAACAAUAUUUUAUUUAAAAACAAACAAAAAGGUUUUUAAUACUAAAUGAGUCAAGUUUUCAUUACUUAUACAUAUUUAGUACUUGAUUACAAACUAAGUAUAAGUUUGUAAUCUAUAUAUGUAUUGGUAUACAUAUAUAGUGCAAUUGAUUGCAUUAUAUACAUGGAUAUUAAUAUUCAUAUUAUUUAUAUUAAUUUUAGUAACAAAUAAUUAUUUGAAAAUUUUAUUAAAUAGUAAUAAUAAUUAAUCAGAUGAUAAUCUCAAAGAAAAAAUAAUGAUUAAAAAAAAAGAUAAUUGAGGAGGAGAAAAUCUAAAAAUGAGGAAAGGAUAAAAGUUGGGCAUUUUUGUCUUGUCAUAUUUUGUAUCCUUUUAACCCUCCUCAAACCUAAUUCACCAUUUUAAAAACCAUGUCAUGAAAUUAAAGUCCCUAAGUGAUAAUUGAAUAUCAUGCAUUAAGGUCAUAUUUGGUUAGUCGAAUAUAACAUAAAAUAGGAUAAAAGAAGAGAUAUUAUAUCCAAUCACAUAUUUAAUUGUUAAUGAAAAAUUAAAAGUUAUUCUGCUUCUUAUCUUAUUAUAUGUUCAGCCAUGAGAUGAGAUAAAUGAUAAUAUAUAUUAUCCAAUUUUUUUAUUUAUAAUAUAUCUUACAUAUGUUAAUAAUAAUUUAAGAUGUAGAAUAUGAAUAUCUCAUCUAUCAUAAUUUUUUAAUAUUAAUUAUUUUGCGAAAUAAAAAAUUUUGAUUAAAAAAAUUAAAUUUGUGGUUAAAAAAGAACUAAAAACAUAUUUAUAAAAUAUACUAUAAAAUAAUACUAAUAUAUGUAUUAUUUGUAUAUAUAUAUAUAAAUAUAUAGAUAUUUUAUUUAUUUAUAAAUAUUUUAAUCAUAAAUAUUAUUAAAUGUAAGAGAAAUUUCAUAUUUUUUAAUAACAAAUAUGAGAAUAAAAUAUAAUUUUUAACAAAUAUCAAAUAUUAAAAAAAUAAUAUAUAUUCCAUUUUUAAAAAAAUUUAUUUUACAAACAUACAUAAACAUAACAUAUCUUAUAACAUAUAUUACAUUAAAUUAUCACGUUUAUUGGAUUAUAUCCAUGAAUAUGAUUUCCCAAAAUUAUAUUCUAAAAUAAGUUUGUCUUAUAAAUGAGAUGUGACAUUUUAGGAUAUACCUAUCAUUUCAUAUUCUAUUAUACUAGUCAAACAUAACUUUUAUUUUUAUAUCUAAGCGAUAAUUUCAUUUUUAACCAACAUACCUAAUGUCUAAUGUGAUAAAAAUAUGAAAAUUAGGAUUAAAUACAUUUUAUUCCUUAAUCUCGAUAUAUUUUAUGUUUUGUCCUCUUAUAUUUAAAAUUUAAUACUUUGUCCCUCAAACUUGUUAAAAAACAAUACUUUUUCUAUAAUAAAAACAAUACUUAUAAAAAAGAUCGUUUCUUUUAUACUAUGGUUUAAACAUUGGUUUGAAUUUAGGUAAAAUUGAUUUGAAAGUAAAAUUUUUCAAACGCUUUCGAAAUAUAAUUAUCAUUUGUAUUGAUUUUAAAAAUAUAUUCAUAUGAUUAUUUGUGAUUUUCGUAUGUAAUAGUGUAGUGUGAUAAUUUAAAAUUUGAAUAACAAGUCUUUUCCUUUGCAUUUCACUUUUAUUUUUUCAUUUAACAAGUUGUUAAUUGAUUUUUUAGUAUUUAGUUUUGAAUGUGAGGGGUGGUGUGUAAAAUAAGCUGAGGGAAUAGAGAUUAGAGAGUAUUUAGCCCUAAAAGUUGAGAUUUCACUCAAAAUAUCGUGAUAUAAAGAAUUGGACAUGCAAAAUAUCGUGAGGACGAGAAGGGACUUGGAUGUGAAGAUUUUAGACGGUUGAUACAGGGGAGACUAAAAGGGCGGAAAAGGGCGAGUAGCGUGAGCAUCGGGGGUGAGGAUGGCCACUGGUUUAAAAGAGGAAGGACGAAGCCAUUCACCAUGAGAGCUCCAAUGGAGACGAUGAAUAACACCGACUCCAGCACUCGUAAUUCCAAUUCCAAUUACGAUACGACGUCGUUGUCUGGAGACGACGGCCCCGUUCGUGUCUACGCUGAUGGGAUCUACGAUCUCUUUCACUUCGGCCACGCUCGCUCUCUCGAGCAAGCCAAAAAAUCGUCAGUUUUCUUCUCCUUGUCUCGCCUUUUGUUUUCUGGGUUUUGCUCAGAAGGUCAAAUUUAUUAUCAAUUUUCCCCGUUUUCCAAAAUAUUUCUCAAAUUCGUUAUUUAAGCAUUAACUUAGAACAAUUGUUGUGUAUCGUCUUUCUCUUCUGUUUCCUCCAUUUUCUUGCAUUUUUUUCAUCUGGGUUUUACUCAAAUGUGAAAUUUACGAUAGAUUUUCCCUAUUUUGCCAAGUAUUUCACUGGGAAAUUGGGUGUCGUUUCUCUUGUUCUCACAUUUUUUUUCCUUUUAAAUUCCAUUAGUUUCGCCUUAGGCUUUGUGGGUUUUAGUCAAACUGUAAAGCUUAUGAUCAAUUUUCCCAAAGAAUUCACUCGGGAAUUCGUUUUCUACGUGAAUUGUUAAGUAUUAUUUUUGUCGUCCUCCUUCUCAAAUUUAGCCUUUCGAUUGGUUGCCUAGAAAACUGAAGGAAAAAAAUGAAAGAAAUUGGAAUCCUGAAUCUAAUAUUUACAACCUCAAAUGAGCCAAUUAGUGUUAUUGGGGAUCUUUAUGUUUUGUCCCUUUCUCUCCUUCAUUUCUCGUUUUUUUCCUUUCUGGGUUUUUCGGAAUGUGAAAUUUUGACGAAAAUGUUAAGGUUUAGCAACUAAGUCAUGUGAAAUUUCUUGUGCGUGUUUGAGAAAUUUAUGCGUAGUUGUUAUCUCUCUUUUUUUUUUUCUCAAUUUAGCUCUUCAUUUGGUUUCUGAGAAAACUAAAGGGAAAAGGAAAGACAUUAGAGUUUGAACACGAUGUUUACAACUUCAACUAAUCCAAUUAGUAUUAUUAGAGAUCCUGAUCUUUUCUCACCAUGUCUAAGUUUCCAGCAUAUACUUUUCUUUUGUAAUCCUAUGUUUUUUCAGAGAUGAGUGGUGGAUUUUUGUGGUUUUUCUUGGUGGUUUUUGUCUCUUUUAUGUUGUUUUCAGUAUUUAUUUCAUGCAAAGGUUGAUUCUACGAAUUGUAAAUUCAGGUUUCCAAACACGUAUCUACUUGUUGGAUGUUGCAAUGAUGAAACCACUCACAAGUUUAAAGGCAAAACUGUUAUGAAUGAAGUGGAGCGUUAUGAAUCUCUUCGCCACUGCAAGUAUGUUUUUCUUAACUGUUUGAUCAUAUUUGUUAUUUUAUUCUUAUGACAAUUUUUUUCCCUUUUUUGAUUGGGUGAUGACAUGGAAUGUGUAUCCAGUUGGCUUUGCCUUUAAAACCUUAAAUUGGAUCUGUCUUGUUGAUAAUGUUUUAAUUAAUACCAUUUACUCGAGGGAGUCAUUAAACAAUGAUUUUUAUGCUUAUUUUGUACAGGUGGGUUGAUGAAGUUAUUCCUGAUGCACCAUGGGUACUCACUCAGGAAUUUCUUGACAAGCAUAAAAUUGACUAUGUGGCCCACGACUCUCUUCCGUAAGUAACCAAUCCAAGCACACACAUUUGUAGUCAAGAGUUGGGUUUUUUUAUGGGUGGAUUAUGUAAUGUAAAAUCACAUAGAAACUUCUAUUUAUGGCUUCCUUUUUUUCUAGCCUGUAAAUUCAUUUAUUUGGGAAAAAGGAAAAAAACUCAGUCUUUCUUGGAAAGCAUCAUAACCUUUUUCUUUUGUUGUAUGUAUGCUUUUCUCUCUCUUUUUUAUGCAUUCACAUAUAUAUAAUCAUUAUUCUUUGUGAUGAAUGCUUCAGUUAUGCCGAUGCCAGUGGAGCUGGAAACGAUGUUUAUGAAUUUGUAAGUUUGAGGGGAGCUUUGUGAUUUUUGGGAAUCAUAUAUUUGCAUUUAUUUCAACUGGUCCCCCCUCUUUUUUCCAUCGAUGUUCUUAAUUGUUAGAAUGUUGUUAUACGCUAACCAAGCUUCUUAUUGUAGGUUAAAUCCAUUGGAAAGUUUAAGGAAACAAAACGAACUGAUGGGAUUUCUACUUCAGACAUUAUAAUGAGGAUUGUUAAAGACUAUAACCAGUAUGUGAUGCGUAACUUGGAUCGUGGAUAUACGAGAAAAGAUCUUGGUGUUAGCUACGUUAAGGCAUGGUCUUUGUUCAUAUUUGAUUUUUAUAUGUGGUUCUUUUUUUAUUGGAUAAUCCUAUUUUAUGGAUAUUUUAUUUAUUUAAUUUUAAAAUUGACCUCUUCACUAAAAUCUUCCAGAGGUGGGACUGAUUGAUCUUUGUUUUUUGUUUUUGUUUUUCAUGUAAAAAGGAAAAGCGACUAAGGGUGAACAUGAGACUUAAGAAACUACAAGAAAAAGUGAAGGAACAACAAGAAAAAGUAGAACAAAAGGUAAGUAAGUCUUUCUAUAUAUGAUAUAUUAUUGCUAGCUUAAAAGAAAGUUCACAUCCAUUAGUUUUUGCUCUAUAUUUCCAAGUAAAAUAGCAAGGAAGUUGAAAUUAGAAAUAUAAGGUGGAUUUACUUGAUCAUUACCUUGGGUUAACUCCAGGGUUGGUGCUCACCACAGAGCUGUGCCAUGGUCAAGUUUCCUGUCAAAUGAACUUUGAUCAUUUCAUUACUCCUAUUUCUGGUUUCACAUUCUUGUUGGCCUUCCUCUUGGUCUUCUAGCUUCUGAAAAUUGAAUCGAGUCACUGCCCUUUACUAGCCUUCUGUCUGGUUCCUUGUUUUCAUUUCACAAGAUUAUCCAUUUUAGCCAAUAUUUCUUAUGUUUCCCUUACUUUGUGCUCCUACAAACUUCUGAGGAGCAUUCAGUCUUAUUCUUUCUUUCCUUUCCUGUUUCUUUGACUAUGAAAAUUAAACAUAUUCACAAAAUACUGACUGUAACAAUGUUUAUUUUAGUUCUAGUUUUGUAUCUAAUUUGUCUUUACUUUACUGGAGAUGCAUAAUGGCAUUUUUUUUAAUCAAUAUCAUGGUUGAGACUAAGGUAUUCAAGGUAUCUUUUUCUUACUUGAGAUGAAUUGGUUCUACAUCUAGCCAACACAAUUACUUGUAAAAUAGCUAAUGACUUGUGUGUAAAUUAUGCACUCCAUCUAGGUUGAUGUUCAUAUAAAUUGGUCAGGUUUCUUUUUAAGUUUGUUUCAUGUUUACCAUACUUGUAUAAAGGUUGAGAUCUGAUUCAUGUCUGUGAAUCAUCAGUUGAUGAAACCUCACUAUAUAAGGUGGCAUUUUAGGAGUCAGAGGUUGUCAAAACAGAUGUGUAGCAAAAAGUUUCUCGAGAACAGUUUUUGUUUCCAAGCAGACAAAUAGAUGUUUGUUCCGUAAUAUAUCGUCUUCUUAUGAUGAGACUGAUAGUUUGCACUACCAAAAUACAGUAUCUAACUUAGGGGUUUAGCAUAAAUUGAGAAAGCGGUGGAGAUUGGAUAUGUGAAAAUCAUCUGGUUUAUUUACUGUCAAGGAGGUUUGCAAAGGUGUCACUGAUUCUUAGAAAAUGGAAGAGGCCAUAAGAGUUAUAUCUUUUUAUGUACCCUGGUAAAUCUAUUUUUAUAAUGCAAAGUUGUUGGCUACAAAGAAAUAAGAGUAAUUGCAUGUAUCUUCAGGAUAGUGGGCAGUCAGGAGGUUUGGCCAAGCCUAGUUACCUAUCAAAAAAAAGAAAAAAAAAAGACUAAUGUUAAGCCUAGUUUCUAGGUGGAUGUGGAUAUUUUGGAGGCUCUGCCGCUUGCCUAAGGCGCAAAAUCAUCUUCUACACUGGAUUUUUGAUGUAUUCUAUGUGAAUGGAGAAAUUAGAUGAAAAUGCUCACAUUGAUGAUUUUUUAUUUUGUUUUUCUUAAGAUAGAUUUCCUUAUGACCUCCUGUGGCUCUUCCUUUACUUUGGUAGGCAAACAAGUGAAUAUAUUAAAAGCGGUAAAAGAACUAGUACACAAAAAUACAUGGGAUGUAUACAAUAGGUGCCAAGAGGCAAAACAAAAAAGAGGGAAAACAAAAAACUACUCCUUCCCUCAACAAAAACCCAUGGAAUCUAGAAAAUCAAUUAAAGGCAUAAAGUGUUCACCUAUGUACCCCUUAAGCCACAGCUAGAGAUUAUUGAGGAAAGUGCUUUUAAGUCUUUGGUUUGACUUCUUAUUUUCAAAUGAUCUUCAGUUUGUUUCCCUUCCAAAUAGUCCAGAAAAUGCAUAAGGAAGUGGCUCUCCAUGCCUUCUUUCGUCUUGUUCCCACAAAUGAGUAAUGCCACCUUAGGGAGUCUCCUUAACUAAGGCAGAAAUAACUCAUGAAAUAUGGAAUAAUGAGAACAACAACUGCCAUAAAAUCCUAGCCUUGCCACAAUGAAGAAGAAUGUGAUCAAUGAAUUUUGCCUUCUCCUUGCAAAAAGCACACCUGUUGACUAACGACUAACCGCUUCCUUGAAUCUACUCCAAAGUCAACACCUUACCCUAGCUGGCCUCCUAAGCAAAAAAAAGAACUCACCUUAGACUGAAUCUAGGGGUUCCAAAAUAUCUUUGAUGAAAAAGAAAUGGCACAAUAUGGCUUGAGAACAGAAUAAAUGGAUUUCACAGAAAAUCUGCUGUUGUGAUUGCGCUCCUUUGGUUCUCCUGUGGCAUUAAUGAUGCUGAUUGAACAAGGAACCUCUUUUUCCUUUCACCCUUGUGGUCAAGGCUCUAAAGACAGUAAGGAUGUUGAAAAAAGAGUGCAUAGAUUUGCCCCAAUCUGUUUACAGGUGGCCUUGACUUCUAGAAAUUACUUUUUCAAUCCAUAAAAUCUGGGUUUGUACUAUAUUAAAGAUUGCCCUUCUUCUAGGAACUUGUUAUCUAGAUUCUAGUCUAGUGUAAAUCAGAUGUAAAUAUAAAAAGCCUUAAAAAAGAAGUGGCACUGGAGAUAAGGCAUUGGAAGAUUUUAGCAUGAAAUAAUUUAAAUCAAAAUUUAUUAAUAUUGUCCACACAGUUUCUCUGCCCUUCUGCCAUUCCUGGACACAAACUCAGAGUGUAGUUAAGUGUUACAACAGGAAAGAUUUUAAGCUUAAUAAAAUAAGUUAGACCAAAAUUCGUUAAUGAUGUCUACUGAAUUUUUUCUGUCCCCUUGUGUUGUUCUUGGACAUGAACUUGAAGCAUAGUUAAGUGUUGCCACCGGAAAAGAAAAUAAGGAAGAAAUUUGAAGUGUUAAAAUGUGUCUUAGAGGCAUUGACUCCCUCUUCUUCUCAUUCUGGUAAAAAAAGGUUCAAUGCAUGUCAAUCAUGCCUCAAUGAGUCUUCAACUUUGAAUACCAAACAAAGUUUCAUAAACAAAAUCUCGAAGUACAUGGUAGUGGGAGGGCAGGUUCUACUGUCAAGGUGCAUAAAUUCUAUAAUUAGUAACCACUAACUUUCUUGUGUUAAGGAUGGCACCUUUGAUGGGGUGUAGAAAAUACAGACUUUUUAAGAAUUUUGAAUGACUAAGAAACUUUGAUGACUUUAAUGAGCCGAUGCAUUGUUUCUCACUGGUAAACUAUAUUCCCGACAAAUUAAUAGCAUGCUAGUGCUUAACUAUCUUCUAGAUUCCUCAAAUAUCAACUAUAAUUAAAAUAACCACUAUUUGAUUCUUUUUUACUGAAAACCUCUAAUUUAGUUUUAGAUGAGAAUAUUUGCAGAUUAUGACAUUUACUUUUGAAUCAACCUAUUUUCCUUUCUCUUGGAGUAUUUUCCAAAUCUCCAAUGUAUAUUGCUUGCAGCAAAGUCUUCUUCGAUCUUGCCUCUUCUGGGCUCUUAUCGACAAACCCUCACUGAUGGUGAUUUCUUGAGGGGGAUCUCUCUCAUUUUGGAGAGAUUCAAGUCAUGACCACUUCAUGUAGGGUGGUUUCUUACAAUAGUCCUGAUCCACUAUCAUUUUGGCUUUCUGUUGCCUUUGUAGAACAGACAGACUACAGGCCUCUUGAAUCUUCUCUUUUCCUAUCUCUAUUUAUUUGAUUUGAUUUUGAAUCUUUAACAAGAUCCAUAUAUUUGGAAAAGAUUCAGAAUUUAAUUGAAUAGAAUAGAUGUACUCCAGCAUUUAGAAAUUGGUUAAUCGGUGAAGAUACAUGUACUAGAUCUUUUGUAUGAUGCCUCUAGGUUAACAUUGCAGGCCACCAAAUCAUUUCAGCUAUAUAUAUUUUAAAAGAGGCCUCUCUCAUGGAUAGUUUCAAGUCCAUGCCCACUCUAUCUAGGGUCAUGCUCAUGGGAACCAUUGGCCAUCAAGUUUUGUCAUCCCCUCUUUCAACUCAAAAUUUACUGAAAGUAUUUUCCACAAGUUAUUGAUUCUUACUUGGUCUUUUAUGGCCGGUUUGUUCUCUAAAUCUAUAUAGUUGACUUGCAAUUUAUACCACGUAUUCAUAAUUUAGUUGCACAUCCCAAUAGUUCUGAUACUGAAUGUUUAUCUACAGACCCUUUGCUACUGUAUUUAUUUGCUAGUAUAAAUUAAGCAGAAUGGCCUAUAGCUUUAUUGACCAACCAAGUAGUUAAUCAUCACUCUUUAAUUAUCUUGAUGACUCUAGAUGAGAAACAGCUAUGAGGGUCAUGAUAUCAUCAAUUAAUUUUUUUUAAUAGGGAAAUAUGAAUAUAUUAGUAAGCACUGAACAGGGAGCAAAACAUAAUACAUGGGAUGGAUACAAGGAAACCGUCAAGAAGCAAAGAAACGGAGAUGCAAAGAUUGUGAGCAGAAAAAAGAUUAGUUUUGGCAAUUGUUGUCUGCCAUCUUCUAUGCUGCCAAAAUAUAAAGAUCAUUCUUAAUAAAAUUGUUGUGUGCCUGUACAUAAUUCAAUGAAUAUUUAUUACUUCCCUGUUAUUGCAGAUUCAAAUUGUUGCAAAAACCGCUGGUAUGCAUCGCAAUGAAUGGGUGGAAAAUGCUGAUCGCUGGGUUGCAGGAUUUCUUGAGAUGUUUGAAGAAGGUUGCCAUAAAAUGGUGAGCAGCAUCCCGACAUAAAACAUGCAUGUGGAUAUGAAUAGAUUGAACAAUUUUUAAACUCCAUUGCUUACUUUUCCCCUUCCUUUUUUUAUUUUUUAUUUUGGCAUUCCUAUCAACCAUUUGGGUGUUCAUCAGGGAACAGCCAUCAGAGAUCGUAUACAAGAGCGGCUAAUGGGGCAGCAGUCAGGAGGGUCCAAAUAUCUGCUGCCUAAUGGCAAGGAUGACAUUGAUAAUGAGGAUGAAGAAUACUAUGAUGAAGAUGAUGAGGAUGAAGAGUACUAUGAUGAGGAAGAAUACUAUGAGUCCUCAGACGAAGAGGAGAAAGAGAAGAAGGCAGAAAAGAAAUAAGUGAUCUUCUCCAUGCUUUCCAGCCCCUCAGUUUCGGUAGAUUACUAUACAGUAGCUAUGGAAGGUGAAAUAUGAUUUUCAUAGUGGCAGGAGAGAGUUUGAACAUCGGAAUGGAAAUAUGUUGUUUGUUUUGACAUUUCCUGUGGUCGAAAUUUCGACAACUCUGGGCAAAAGCAUACAUGAAAAAUGAUUUAUGUUGGUUAUGGGUAUGGAAGAGGACCUAGCAGAAGCUGUUUGUGUUUGUGUAUGGGCUGUGAGUGAAGUUAUAAUGGGAAGGUUGUGAACCAGAUUGAGAGCUUUUCAUCAUAAGUAUGGUUUAGAUUCUUUAUAACAGUUGUUUCUUUGAAGCUUUCAUUCUUUACUGUUUUGGUCAGCUUGUACUUUUUUUUUUUUUUUCUCUCUCAUAUGUUACAAUCAAUCUACCCCAUUCUGAUCAACCCUUAAUCCUAAAUUACCCAAAGACUAAGAAAAUGGGAAUGGUAGGGACCAAAUUUUUAAGAAUCAUUAGGUUUGUGCAUGUGGACACAGGUAACUUUGUGGACACAUAGGUAAUAAAGUUAAUAUUAUACAUAUAUUUUAAUUAUUUAAUAAAAAUUAAAAGAAGUUAUUUGGUAAAAAAUUAAACAAAAAUUUAAAACUUUUAAGUAUUUUAGGUAUUUUUGUUUAAAAAAAAAAUACUUGGAUGUCAUGACAAUAUUUAUCCUGUAAUAAAAAAAUCUAGAUAUUAAGUUAAAAGUAAUUAAUUAUUUAUUUUAUUGAGUUUCUAUUUUAUGAUUUUUUUUUUCAUAUGAGCAUAUUUUAUUAUUUCUUGAGUUGGUGAGUAUGGCUUGAAAUUUCCUUAACAUCAUUAAUAAACAGACAUAAGUUAUUAUUUGUUUAAUAAUAUUUUUUCUUAAAAUUUGAAAAAUAAAAUUAUUAAUCUUGUUUUAAUAAAAUUUUUGGAUAUAAUGUUUCCUAAACUUUUUUUAAAAUUAAAAUAAUAAUCCUAUUCAAAUGAAAUUCCUAACUCUUAUCAAAUUAAAAUAAAAUAAAAAUUAUAUUUUCAUCACAAUCGCCUAAAAGAAACUAUUAAAGUUAGAUAUGAAAGUACGAAAACUUAUUUAAUUUCAUAAAUCAAAAUUUAUGUGUAUUACAUAUAUUUUUCUUAAAUAAAAAUAACAAUUUAGAUUUGAAAAAAAAAAUUAUAUCUCAAUCUUAUAUAUCUAUUAAAUAUUAAUUUUAUCAUUAUUAAUAUUUGUGUUUAAUAAAUAUUAAUUUUUGUCUUUAUUUUAAUAAAAUGAAAAAUGAAAAAGAGGAUAUGAAUAUGAUUUUCUAUUUUUUAAAAAUAUAUUAUUUUUAUCUAAAUAAUUGCAAGUAUCUUAUAUCCAAAAAUUCUUUAUAUAGAAAACUGAGAAUAAAAUACCCAUUUAUUUAUUUAUUUUUAUAUUGCAAAUAGAAUUAAUGAGUAUUUUUGUGCUUUGGAAGUAAUGGAUUCUUUCCUUUAGAUCAUCAAGUGAAAGAGAUAGCACAUGGAACAUCGCUUCUAAUGGAGCCUUCGUCAACCUCCACCAAAGGGUGAGAUCGAAAUGCCUAAUGAUUAUUUGAAUUUUGAAGAACUAUUAGCUCAAGAUUCUUGAAUCGAACUGUUAGAAUUGGAAAGGUGAUUGAAAGGGCCCACAAUUAGAUGUCUUAACUCAACCAUCAAUCGGAGGGUUUGCAUUUCAUUGCGAAUGAAAUUCCAUAUUUGAAAGUCUUUGGUAUGGAGUAUCAAUAGCCACAGAUCAUCAACUCAAUGCAUUUCAAAUGGUAAAAGGGUUAUGAUUCACGGUUGAGAUUACAUUAAAUUAUAAGAAUGACAAUGGUCAUCUCGUGAGAGGUAAGGAGAUUGAGAAUGAAAUAAGAAGUUUGAUGAAUAAUGAUCAUGAAAUCAAAGGAAGAGUGAAGGAGAUGAAAGAAAAUAUCACAAGUAUCCUUAUUGAUGGUGGAUUUUCACACACUUGCUUAGGGCGUCUAAUUGAAGAAAUGAUUACCAACAUAGCAUAAAAACAAUGUUCAUGUGAUUCAAACAUCCAAGGAAUAUAUCAUCUUUAAAGAUGUUAAAGUUGUAUGUUUAUGCAUUAUAUCUUAUUAGAGAGUUCAUUUGUUAAAAAUCUUAUUAUUUUUCAAUGUGAAAAUUAGUGUGGAGAAAAAAGUACAUUACUGUUAUUUACAAUGAAAAUUCAAUAAAUAUGUCUAAAUUAAUUAUUAUAAAUUAAUUGAAUAUUUUAAUCUAAAAAGUGAACACCAAAAGCUUAUUAGUAUUUGUUUAAAAGAAUAGGGAACAAUCUACUCAUGAGAGUUUUGAAAAUUCAUCAUGGAAUAUCUUCCCUUGAUAAGAGAUUGAAGGCAUUUGGCUCCUGCUUGUUAUUGCAAGAUUGUUGAGGAAUAUGAUGUAGUUGGGGGCUAAGUUAGAGAAAGAUUAGGGUAUGAUUAUUGGUUUAACACAUUAUUUUAUUGUUAUUGCUUUAUUCUCUUACACUAAUUCCUUACGGGUAUGUUUUGUUACUCGAAAAUUUUCUUAGCAUUAACAUAGAACAAUAGUUGUAUAUCGUUUUUCUCUUCUGUUUCCUUCAUUUUCUUGCAUUUCUUUUUUCAUCUGGGUUGCACUCAAAUGUGAAAUUUACGAUUGCUUUCACUGGGAAAUUGGUUUUCUGUAUUAUUGUCGUUUGUGUUUAUCUCACAUUUUUUUCCCUUUUUUUCCAUUAGUUUCUGGCCUUAAGCGUUGUGUGUUCUAGUCAAAAUGUGAAGUUCAUGAUCAAUUUUCCCAAAUAAUUCAUUUGGGAAUUCGUUUGCUACGUGAACUGUUAUGUAUUAUUUUUGUCAUUCUCCUUCUCAAAUUUUGCCUAUCAGUUGGUUGCUGGAAAACUGAGGGAAAAAUGAAAGAAAUUAGAAUCCUGAAUCUAAUAUUUAUAACCUCAAGUGAGCCAAUUAAUGGUAUUGGGGAUCUGUAUGUUUUGCCUCUUUCUCUCCUUCAUUUCUCGCUUUUCCCUUCCGGGUUUGCCGUCAGAAUGUGAAGUUUUGAAGAAAAUGUUAAGGUUUAGCAAUCAAGUCAUGGGAAAUUUCUUGUGCGUGUUAGAGAAAUUCAAGAGGCUUCAAAUAUCUGCUGCCUAAUGGCAAGGAUGACAUCGAUAAUGAGGUGAGGGAUUCUAUGAUGAAGAGGAUGAAGAGUAUUAUGAUGAGGAAGAAUACUAUUGAGUCCUCAGACGAGUAGCAGAAUGAGAAGGCAGAAAAGAAAUAGGUGAUCUUCUCCAUGCUUACCGGUCCCUGAGUUUUUGGUAGAUCACUAUAGAAUAGCUAUGGAAGGUGAAGUUUGAUUUUCAUCAUGGCAGAAGAGAGUUUGAACAUCAGAAUGGAAAUAUCUUGUUUGUUUUGACAUUUUUGUGUGGUCGAAAUUUUGACAACUCUGGGCAAAAGUAUACAUGAAAAAUGAUUUAUGUUGGUUAUGGGUAUGGAAGAGGACCUAGCAGAAGCUGUUUCUGUUUGUGUAUGGCCUGCGAGUGAGUGAAGUUAUAAUGGGAAAGCUGUGAACCAGAUUGAAAGCUUUUCAUCAUCAAGUAUGGUUUAGAUUCUUUGUGACAGUUGUUACUUUGAAGCUUUAUUCUUUACUGUUUUGGUCAGCUUAUACUUCCUUUUUCUACCAAACUAAUCAUGUAACAAUCAAUCUACCCCUUUCUGAUCAACCCUUAUCCUAAAUCACCCAAGGACUCAGAAUAUCCAAAUGGUAGGGACCAAUUUUUAAGAAUCAAAUACGUGACGACAAAGUAGUCAACACACAGCCCUCCAAAGGAGACUUUCAA